AUGGCCGGCAUGCUCCCUGGAGUGGAGUGCGCGCGGCGGCGGCGGAUGUGGCAGGGCGGGGGCGCGGGGGCCGACCAGGCGGCCGCGGGCACGAGGCGGCUCUCGUUCUGCCUCUACGCUGCCGGGCACGGCGCCGCGCACGCCGUCGGCACCGGCAAUUCCGGCAACAAGCAGAGGAGCGGCGCCAUGGACGGGUGGGCGCUGGACAGCAAUGCCCGGGAGGCAAAGGAGAGGCUGGACCAGAAGCUCAAGAGCAAGGGCAGCGGCCCCGACACCGUCAUCAAGAGGCAUCACAGUACGGGGAGCAUAAAGCUGAGCAGAGCAAACGGAAGCGGCGGUGGUGGCGGAGGGGGCUCGUCGGCGACGGUGGCGACGGGCGUGCAGCGGGAGGUGUACUCGAAGAAGGGCGUGAUGAGGCGGCUGAUGAGGUGGAGCCGGCUGCGGUGGGAGGCCGCGGAGCAGGCGGAGUGCGCCGUGUGCCUGGACGAGUUCGCCGCGGGCGACGUCCUGGCGCACCUGCCGUGCGGCCACCGCUUCCACUGGGGCUGCGCGCUGCCCUGGCUCGAGGGCGCCGCCUCGCACUCCUGCCCGUUCUGCCGCGCCGCGGUCGACGCCGGCGCCGGCGCGCACGCCGCCUCCUAG
rnacentral:rRNA from 1 species